GGGGGUACUUUAUACCCAACACCAGUCCCCCUGCUUCUGAGUUCGGGUUUCAAAGGAAGGAAGUACAGAGGAUUUCUCACGAUCGAAGCUGCUCUCCUUGAUUUCCAUACUCAGUGGUCGCCAGAUGUUUUGACGCUCGAUACGCUGGUACUGGAGCCUUUUCGGAAAAGGUUUCUUCUUUCUGGGAUUCCCGCUGGGGCAUGGCUCUAAGUAUGGUGCAUAAUUAUUUUGUCAGCUGCCAGCUAUUUUCAACAGCCUGUCGAAGUGAGUGGGACAUGUGGUAGGUACAGGCCGGUCAGAGGAGAUCCGCGAUCAUAAUCGCUCCAGGUCCCGUUGCC
rnacentral:lncRNA from 1 species